GACGAACGCUGGCGGCGUGCUUAACACAUGCAAGUCGAACGGUGAAGCGCCUUCCUUUUUGGUGGGUGUGGAUGAGUGGCGAACGGGUGAGUAACACGUGAGUAACCUGCCCCCUUCUUCUGGAUAACCGCAUGAAAGUGUGGCUAAUACGGGAUAUUCUGAGUCUGUCGCAUGAUGGGUCUGGGAAAGAUAUUGUUUCGGUGGGGGAUGGGCUCGCGGCCUAUCAGCUUGUUGGUGGGGUGAUGGCCUACCAAGGCGGUGACGGGUAGCCGGCCUGAGAGGGUGGACGGCCAUACAGGGGAUGAGACACGGCCCAGACUCCUACGGGAGGCAGCAGUGGAGAAUAUUGCACAAGGGGCGGAAGCCUGAUGCAGCGACGCCGCGUGAGGGAUGGAGGCCGUCGGGUUGUGAACCUCUUUCGCCAGUGAAGCAGGCCUGCCUCGUUUGUGGGUGGGUUGACGGUAGCUGGAUAAGAAGCGCCGGCUAACUACGUG
rnacentral:rRNA from 1 species